GGAGGGGAGGGAGAUCUGGCUGCCACAGCUGUCACCCCAUUGAUGGCCAGGGUUGACUCGGCUGAUCUGACUGUCUAGGUGGGCGCCUCCUUCUUCCCCCACCUGCAACUGUGUGUCCCCAUAGCGUUUCCCGAAUAGAGACCGGCCGCUCUUUGGUCAAGGGUCUAGGAGCAGCUGUGCUCCCCAUCCUGAACCUCCAAACGUGCUCUCAAGAAGCGCAGGCCUACUCAACACCCUUUAUUGCAAACCACAACAUCUAAUCAGA
rnacentral:snRNA from 1 species